ACCCAGAGCUCAUUCGGCAGAGCAUGAGACUCUCAAUCUCAGGGCCGUGGGUCUGAGCCCCACAUUGGGCA